rnacentral:rRNA from 1 species
AGUGAACGCUGGCGGUAGGCCUAACACAUGCAAGUCGAACGGCAGCACAGUAAGAGCUUGCUCUUACGGGUGGCGAGUGGCGGACGGGUGAGGAAUACAUCGGAAUCUACUUUUUCGUGGGGGAUAACGUAGGGAAACUUACGCUAAUACCGCAUACGACCUACGGGUGAAAGCAGGGGAUCUUCGGACCUUGCGCGAUUGAAUGAGCCGAUGUCGGAUUAGCUAGUUGGCGGGGUAAAGGCCCACCAAGGCGACGAUCCGUAGCUGGUCUGAGAGGAUGAUCAGCCACACUGGAACUGAGACACGGUCCAGACUCCUACGGGAGGCAGCAGUGGGGAAUAUUGGACAGUGGGCGCAAGCCUGAUCCAGCCAUACCGCGUGGGUGAAGAAGGCCUUCGGGUUGUAAAGCCCUUUUGUUGGGAAAGAAAAGCAGCAGGUUAAUACCACGCUGUUCUGACGGUACCCAAAGAAUAAGCACCGGCUAACUUCGUG